AAUGUGAAGAGUGGGGGUGCUGGGAUCUACUGAACUAAACUGUAAACCCUGUAUAUAAUGGAAACCACUUCAAGCCAGGUGGCAGCACCCUUAGUUCCAGCAC